rnacentral:rRNA from 1 species
UACGAAGGGGGCUAGCGUUGUUCGGAUUUACUGGGCGUAAAGCGCACGUAGGCGGAUCGAUCAAUCAGGGGCGAAAUCCCAGAGCUCAACUCUGGAACUGCCUUUGAUACUGUCGAUCUGGAGUAUGGAAGAGGUGAGUGGAAUUCCGAGUGUAGAGGUGAAAUUCGUAGAUAUUCGGAGGAACACCAGUGGCGAAGGCGGCUCACUGGUCCAUUACUGACGCUGAGGUGCGAAAGCGUGGGGAGCAAACAGG